GGGUGGAAAAGGGAGGGGGUAGUAAGGUGGACGUGGUGGUUGGGAGGUACCAAGUGACCUGGCAAAGGCCAGUCUCUUUACUAGCUUAUAAUAUCAUUAAGAAAAGUUAUUCUGUCUCCUAGCCGUUGGUGGUGAAAGGGGGGGUACCAUUGUUAUUUUGCCUCGGUGCAUCUGCUAUGAACUUACACCCCUGGAUACGUGGUGCCUGAAAAGCAACCUGGAUCAGGAGAGAUGUAUGUUUGCUGGCUGAGGCAGAACUUUUCUGGAAUAACAGUGUGUGAGCAUGACUGCAGUGAGUGUUUGUGCAUUGCUGCCGAGUGUGAGUGACUAAAUUAUUUUUGUGUAAAUAUAAAGUAGUGGGGGGAAGGGGGCCCUGCCUAUUAUGUCAGUCCUAGGCCCAAUAAUUUCUGAUGGCAGCCCUGCUGCCACAUAAGCGGAUUCAGGGGAGGGGGUUUCCCUCUGAUGGGUUGCUGGGAGGUCACCUCACUAAGUUACCAUGCUCUACCAGUGGCCAGCUCAGAUGGUCCCCAGCUGUGCCGCCUUCCUUUGUCACAGGCAGAGCUGCAAAGAGGAUGGGACGGCUGGAGCGUGGGGUGCCUGCCGCACUGUGUGGUAAGCUAGCAGCUCCCGGUUAUCCCCUGACUACUAGCCACUGCCACAAGCCAAGUUGCUGGGUGACUGCUGCAUUGUGUGAUACACCAGUGAUGCCAAGCCCCUGCUGUCCCUGGAUCUUCCUGCUUCCAAUGCCUUCCUCCACCUCUUCCAGUAUGUGACGCGAUCUGUCCAUUGAAGUAGAAAGAGCACACAGCAUCACACAGAGAAGACUAGCUGUAAGAAUAAACAAGGAACCUGUGGAUCGACCCAGCUCCCUCCAGCCAUAGUCAGCCCAGUAUAAGACGAUCUGCCAAACAGUUACUACCGCUGCACCCUCCUGUGAAGAGUGGGGAGAAGCAGCAAGUGAAAGUUCAUCACACAACUCCAUGUACGCAGGAAUUUGGAAAAAAUAAUGUGAAUAGUGGCUAGGGAAGCAUAUAUAGGUACAGAAGAUAAUCUUAAAUGUAUCAAGGACUUGGCCUGGGUGAUCCAAUCUCAUUGUGGAGCAUCUUAGAAUGCUAAGCAUUUCAUGUGACAUGAAGCAAAUAAGGAAAGGUAUAUGAGACCACAUCUGUAUGUGUAUCACUUUCACUCAGCAUGACUAUAAGAAAGUGACAAUGGAGCCAGAAGCCAAUAGAAACAUCCAUACCCCAAGACCCCUGUAAGGCAAAUUAAGGAAUGUUUUUGAAGGUUAAAGUGACCUCAUUUCUAGGUGUGUAUUGUGAAAGUAACCAGACAAACGUGUACUUACCAAUCAGCCAUCCCUCUGGCAUUUGUCUCACGUCAAACUUUGCACACAGGAAUGACUGACAGGUGACGAAUGAAUCAUGGCAUGAGCCAGGAUAGCCAACUAAAAUGCUCAGGAUUCUUUGGUUUGCAUCACAAACCACCUGCAUAUUGGUGGAAUAGCUGUGGUGGAGAUUUAGGAACACAUGUGCUCAUGUCCUAGAUGGCCUAAGCUCAAUGUGUGUGCAGUAUAUAGCACUGAGGAUAUUGAGCAUGUCUGUAAUCCUAUACAAAGCUUAACUGACAUCAUGAUACUGUGAAUCGUGGCUAGAGAAGCAUAUAUAGGUACAGAAGAUAAUCUUAAAUGUAUCAAGGACUGGGCCUAGGUGAUGUGAAAAGAGGUGUCUUGGAAUCCUCCAUGUCACUGACUAAAAGCUUCCAGUAGCAAAGAAGUACAGAACAGCCAGGAAUUUGUUUAGAUCAGAUAAAACUCAUGGCUGUGCAGUGUCUGGCUCAACCUGCUGGGUCUUCUGUUCUGAUUCUUUCUCCUGGGUAGAGGAGGCAGUCAGCUGGUGCAGAGUACAUGAACUAGUAGCUUGAUAGUACAUCAGCACAAAACCUGUCUCAGCCAUGCUUGAAAGUAGAAAGAGAGUGCUGCAACUGACUUGGUUUGCUUUUUUAAAUGUCCUGACUGGGUGGAAGGUAAUUUAAAUUGUGUUGUAUAAAAUUGCUUGUAAGCUUAUUGAUUUGGUGCCUUGAGAUGCCACUU